rnacentral:rRNA from 1 species
UAACGUCCGUCGUGAAGAGGGAAACAACCCAGACCGCCAGCUAAGGUCCCAAAGUCAUGGUUAAGUGGGAAACGAUGUGGGAAGGCCCAGACAGCCAGGAUGUUGGCUUAGAAGCAGCCAUCAUUUAAAGAAAGCGUAAUAGCUCACUGGUCGAGUCGGCCUGCGCGGAAGAUGUAACGGGGCUAAACCAUGCACCGAAGCUGCGGCAGCGACGCUUAUGCGUUGUUGGGUAGGGGAGCGUUCUGUAAGCCUGUGAAGGUGUGCUGUGAGGCAUGCUGGAGGUAUCAGAAGUGCGAAUGCUGACAUAAGUAACGAUAAAGCGGGUGAAAAGCCCGCUCGCCGGAAGACCAAGGGUUCCUGUCCAACGUUAAUCGGGGCAGGGUGAGUCGACCCCUAAGGCGAGGCCGAAAGGCGUAGUCGAUGGGAAACAGGUUAAUAUUCCUGUACUUGGUGUUACUGCGAAGGGGGGACGGAGAAGGCUAUGUUGGCCGGGCGACGGUUGUCCCGGUU